ensembl:lncRNA
UAAGCACUCUAUGCAGCUCCCUCAACAGCGAUCUGCUUGUGUAGUUCCUUUGGGGAAUUAAAAGAAGUGCGUCUUGUCCUCAAUGUUGUUUUAUUUGAUUCUGUGACUUAUGCUGUUGAUAAUAGCUGCACUGACGUUUGCAAGGCUUUGUACAUCCUACACACUUGCUCUAUGCAUUCAUUGGUCUAAUCUGCUUACUGGAAUGUUUCUUUUUUUUUUUCCAUUAUUCUUUAUUUUUCUGUGUACAGCAAUGCCUGUGUACAUGGCAGAUAAUCUUAUGGAGCUUUAGCCCAUCUAAUUGGAGCUGUAUGGUUGCAUGGGCUCUCUAAUAUAUCCCAAUGUUUGGAGUUGGAGAAAGGGAGUGCAGACUGCAUGACAUCCUACCUAGGUGUGUAGAGAGAGGGCAGUGGGUUGCUUUAAGAUCUGUUUUAGAGAAACAGUCUGAAGUUGACUAGUAGCUCAGAAUUAUUCAAAUGACCUGUUUUGCCCCAUCAUAUUUCUCAUUUCUCAUGGCACUAUGGCAUGAACGUGGGUGGUGACUUCAAACAUUCCAGAAUGUCCUAGAACCAGGUCCAUGUUCAUUUUUCUCCUCUGCAAAUGCGAUUUUGAUAUUUCUGAUGUUGGAACAGAUGUGACACAUCUGUAUAAAUUUGACUGAAACAAGUUAUGAAUGCCCCAAUGUUACAGGGAACUACUUGCUGUUUGACAUACUGCUUCAGGAUUCAUCAAAUGCUUUCAGCAUGUUGGCUUUCUCUGGCCCUCUCAGUCAGGCUUCAGUGUUGACUGUUGAGAAGCAGGGCUUCUAAAAGAAUGGGCCUGUCGGAUAAUAGAUGGAGUUGAGAUAUAUGAAUAUAUAUAUACACAUAUAUUUUUUAAUUUGAGUGAUGGUCAGAUUGGGUUAUGAAGAGUUUUGUUUUCUUGUUGUUUUUUUUUCUUGCUGUAUUUCUGUAUGUAUAAAAGCUCAGAGGUUCCUCAAAACUCAGCAAUUUCUCUAUCAAAGCCACAGGGUGUCUGUGUUUUUAUUCUACUUUAUACUUUCAGAUGUCUGUAAAAAUACUGUUAAAAAAAACAAACAAAACAAAAAAAACCAACAGUGUCAGAGGAAUGUGUAUGUGAGGGUUUAACCAAUAGUGUAUAAAAUUAUGGAUCUAAAGCACUUAAUUUUUUUAAGAGAUGCCUCCUAAAUUGAAGCUCUUGGUGCUGUGAGUCCAAACCAUGCAGCUGUUGAACCCUUCUUGACUCUUGGUAUGUCUCCGUCUCCGAAGUCUCUAGACUUUUCCCCUCUCUCAUCUUUCCCUCCCUCUUCAUCGGUCAUCUCCUUCUUUUUUUUGUUGGACACUCUGUCCUAUUUGGUUGUUGAGAAGCUGUUAUAUUUUGUUCUCAUUUAAAAAAACAAACAAACAAAAAAAACUGGGGAAAAGAGGCAUGUGCCUUUGUAAAGACAGAAUAAUAAAGUUUGUACUACGUUUUU